GACGAACGCUGGCGGCGUGCUUAACACAUGCAAGUCGAACGGAAAGGCCCUGCUUUUGUGGGGUUCUCGAGUGGCGAACGGGUGAGUAACACGUGAGUAACCUGCCCUUGACUUUGGGAUAACUUCAGGAAACUGGGGCUAAUACCGGAUAGGAUCUCCUGCUGCAUGGUGGGGGUUGGAAAGUUUCGGCGGUUGGGGAUGGACUCGCGGCUUAUCAGCUUGUUGGUGGGGUAGUGGCUUACCCAGGCUUUGACGGGUAGCCGGCCUGAGAGGGUGACCGGCCACAUUGGGACUGAGAUACGGCCCAGACUCCUACGGGAGGCAGCAGUGGGGAAUAUUGCACAAUGGGCGGAAGCCUGAUGCAGCAACGCCGCGUGCGGGAUGACGGCCUUCGGGUUGUAAACCGCUUUAGCCUGUGACGAAGCGUGAGUGACGGUAAUGGGUAAAGAAGCACCGGCUAACUACGUG
rnacentral:rRNA from 1 species